rnacentral:rRNA from 1 species
AUACGUAGGGGGCGAGCGUUGUCCGGAAUUACUGGGCGUAAAGGGUGCGUAGGCGGUUCUUUAAGUUGGAUGUGAAAUACCCGGGCUUAACCUGGGGGGUGCAUUCAAGACUGGGGAACUAGAGUUCAGGAGAGGGAAGCGGAAUUCCUAGUGUAGCGGUGAAAUGCGUAGAUAUUAGGAGGAACACCAGUGGCGAAGGCGGCUUUCUGGACUGACACUGACGCUGAGGCACGAAAGCGUGGGGAGCAAACAGGAUUAGAUACCCUGGUAGUCCACGCGGUAAACGAUGAAUACUAGGUGUAGGGGGUAUCAACUCCCUCUGUGCCGCAGCUAACGCAAUAAGUAUUCCGCCUGGGGAGUACGGCCGCAAGGUUGAA